rnacentral:tRNA from 1 species
AUAGCGGAGAAGGGGUUGAACCAACAUCAAAAAACUCAAAAUCUUAUGCAUUUCUAUUAUGCUACCCACUA